AAAUUGAAGAGUUUGAUCAUGGCUCAGAUUGAACGCUGGCGGCAGGCCUAACACAUGCAAGUCGAACGGUAACAGGAAACAGCUUGCUGUUUCGCUGACGAGUGGCGGACGGGUGAGUAAUGUCUGGGAAACUGCCUGAUGG
rnacentral:rRNA from 1 species